UACGGAGGGUGCAAGCGUUAUCCGGAUUUACUGGGUUUAAAGGGUGUGUAGGCGGGCUUUUAAGUCAGUGGUGAAAUCUCCGGGCUCAACCCGGAAACUGCCAUUGAUACUAUUAGUCUUGAAUUUUGUUGAGGUAGGCGGAAUAAGUCAUGUAGCGGUGAAAUGCAUAGAUAAUGACUUAGAACACCAAUUGCGAAGGCAGCUUGCUAAACAAAUAUUGACGCUGAGGCACGAAAGCGUGGGGAUCAAACAGGAAUAGAAACCCGUGGUAGUCCGAAGCACCAAUCGAUACCGUCC
rnacentral:rRNA from 1 species